ACGGGUGAGUAACACGUGGGUAACCUACCUAUAAGACUGGGAUAACUCCGGGAAACCGGGGCUAAUACCGGAUAAUAUUUUGAACCGCAUGGUUCAAUAGUGAAAGACGGUUUCGGCUGUCACUUAUAGAUGGACCCGCGCCGUAUUAGCUAGUUGGUAAGGUAACGGCUUACCAAGGCGACGAUACGUAGCCGACCUGAGAGGGUGAUCGGCCACACUGGAACUGAGACACGGUCCAG
rnacentral:rRNA from 1 species